UACGAAGGGUGCUAGCGUUGUUCGGAAUUACUGGGCGUAAAGCGCGCGCAGGCGGCUAUCCAAGUCAGUGGUGAAAGCCCGGAGCUCAACUCCGGAACUGCCAUUGAAACUGUUUAGCUGGAGUAUGAGAGAGGUGAGUGGAAUUCCCAGUGUAGAGGUGAAAUUCGUAGAUAUUGGGAAGAACACCGGUGGCGAAGGCGGCUCGCUGGCUCAUUACUGACGCUCAUGCGCGACAGCGUGGGGAUCAAACAGG
rnacentral:rRNA from 1 species